rnacentral:rRNA from 1 species
ACUCUUGNNNCNNCAGAACUUAGCAGAGAUGCUUCGGUGCCUUCGGGAACUGUGAGACAGGUGCUGCAUGGCUGUCGUCAGCUCGUGUUGUGAAAUGUUGGGUUAAGUCCCGCAACGAGCGCAACCCUUAUCCUUUGUUGCCAGCACGUAAUGGUGGGAACUCAAGGGAGACUGCCGGUGACAAACCGGAGGAAGGUGGGGAUGACGUCAAGUCAUCAUGGCCCUUACGAGUAGGGCUACACACGUGCUACAAUGGCAGAUACAAAGUGAAGCGAACUCGCGAGAGCAAGCGGACCACAUAAAGUCUGUCGUAGUCCGGAUUGGAGUCUGCAACUCGACUCCAUGAAGUCGGAAUCGCUAGUAAUCGUAGAUCAGAAUGCUACGGUGAAUACGUUCCCGNG